UCAGUGCCAACUAGGAAGGAUCCUAUCGAACCAGAUGCGAACUCUUUGGAGGGACACAUGUCUUGGAGCACUUGCAGGGAAAAGCUCGUCUCGGAAGUAUAUACCGCCGGAGAUUAUGAGAGAAGACUUAGGAGAAGCUCCGAGUACAGGUCGAAGAUCCGGGACAAGUCCCGGGAUACAGGCCGAAGACGCAAGAUAAGCCCGAAGACACAAGUCGAAGACGCAAGACAAGCCCAAAGACACAGGUCGAAGACGUGAGGCAAGCCUAAGGAUACAUGUCGGAGACACAAGAUAAGAUCGAGGAUACAGAUUGAAGACAGAAGACUCAGAACAAGUCUGAGGAUGCAGGUCGAAGACCGAACAUUCGAAACAAGGCGCGGGAUAUAAGUUAAAGAUCCGGGACCAGUACCAACAUAUAACUUGUUGACCUCAGACAAGUUAUCAGACCCAAGAGAAGUUAUGAGUAAAAUAAUGGAGGCCUAAGGUAAGAAUAUCUUCGAGAGCAACCUUCAUUUCAUACUCGUCCUCAGUCAAAGUCAAAGCUUUCAAGUAUGAAAGAUAGACAUGAUAAAGGUCGGGAAGAGCAUAUCUAGNCAUUCCGANUCUUUGGAGGGACACAUGUCUUGGAGCACUUGCAGGGAAAAGCUCGUCUCGGAAGUAUAUACCGCCGGAGAUUAUGAGAGAAGACUUAGGAGAAGCUCCGAGUACAGGUCGAAGAUCCGGGACAAGUCCCGGGAUACAGGCCGAAGACGCAAGAUAAGCC
rnacentral:lncRNA from 1 species